GACGAACGCUGGCGGCGUGCUUAACACAUGCAAGUCGAACGAAGAGCGAUGGAAGCUUGCUUCUAUCAAUCUUAGUGGCGAACGGGUGAGUAACGCGUAAUCAACCUGCCCUUCAGAGGGGGACAACAGUUGGAAACGACUGCUAAUACCGCAUACGAUCUAAUCUCGGCAUCGAGGAUAGAUGAAAGGUGGCCUCUACAUGUAAGCUAUCACUGAAGGAGGGGAUUGCGUCUGAUUAGCUAGUUGGAGGGGUAACGGCCCACCAAGGCGAUGAUUAGUAGCCGGUCUGAGAGGAUGAACGGCCACAUUGGGACUGAGACACGGCCCAGACUCCUACGGGAGGCAGCAGUGGGGAAUCUUCCGCAAUGGACGAAAGUCUGACGGAGCAACGCCGCGUGAGUGAUGACGGCCUUCGGGUUGUAAAGCUCUGUUAAUCGGGACGAAAGGCCUUCUUGCGAAUAGUGAGAAGGAUUGACGGUACCGGAAUAGAAAGCCACGGCUAACUACGUG
rnacentral:rRNA from 1 species